GACAAAUCCUCCAAGAUUUAACUUCCUAGGAAACCGGCGGCAGAGCGGGUGGAGGAGGCGAGGAUGUGUGGCCAGUGCUCGCGGAGUGCAAUGCAAGUCAGUGAUGGCCGCCUAGUUGGGAGCAGCAAGAGUCUGCCCGUUGUGGCAGGCACAUGGAACCCAAUCCCUAUUUGUCCGGAGCGCCGGCCUCACCAGAGGAAGGAGCACGAGGGGAGGAGGUCCGAGAGGAAAUAAUUGGUGAAAUAUUUGCAGAAGAUGCUGGGAUGCGGAUUUAAUUCCAGAUGAACAGCGGUGCUUCUGAUUCCCUCAGUCUGUUUCCCACCCACGAUCUCCUCUUUCCUCGUCCUAGACACACCAAAAAUAACUCAGUAAAAUAAAAAUAAAAAUUUUAAAAUCUGUAAA